UGACCCGAUUCGCUGUGGAAGACUAGUGAUUUUGUUGUUGUUUCUUCUGCUUUCUGACAACAAGUCACAGUCUACCUCAGCGAGCGGGCCC
rnacentral:pre_miRNA from 1 species